rnacentral:lncRNA from 1 species
GUAGAGGCGGCGGAGACGGUUUCUCCAUCUUCCCCCCUCCCCUUCCCCCCUCGGAGUUUCCCUCCCUCCCUCCCUCCCUCCUUCCCAGUCUGGGCACCGGAGCCUGUGACCGCUUCGUUAGUGGAGAGGUAGCUGGCAGUCCGCUUCGGCGGGCCUGUGCCCCGCGCCGUUCUCGGGGCCUCCCUGCUGAGCUCGCGGCUCACGCUGAGAGGGACACGCAGUGACGAGCGGCCGAAGCAGCUUUGCGGUUUUGUAGUGCAUCCCUGAGCAUGAGCACAGAAUGAAGCGGCGUUUGGAUGACCAGGAGUCACCGGUGUAUGCAGCCCAGCAGCGUCGGAUCCCUGGCAGCACAGAGGCUUUUCCUCACCAGCACCGGGUGCUUGCCCCUGCCCCUCCUGUGUAUGAAGCAGUGUCUGAGACCAUGCAGUCAGCUACGGGAAUUCAGUACUCUGUAACACCCAGCUACCAGAGACGUGGUCUCACUCUGUGGCCCAAGCUGGAAUGCAGUGGCAUGAUCAUAGCUCACUGCAGCCUUGAACUCCUGAGUUCAGGCGAUCUUCCUAUGUAGGUUUCAGCCAUGCCACAGAGCUCCGGCAGUCAUGGGCCCGCUAUAGCAGCAGUUCAUAGCAGCCAUCAUCACCCAACAGCGGUGCAGCCCCACGGAGGCCAGGUGGUCCAGAGUCAUGCUCAUCCAGCCCCACCAGUUGCACCAGUGCAGGGACAGCAGCAAUUUCAGAGGCUGAAGGUGGUAUUCAGCUCUUUUUCUUGGGUCAAAAAAUUUAUCUUUAGCAGGAAAUACUGGUUGCAGCUUGUUGGUUGUGGUGGUACAACUUCUAACCUGAGAUACUAGCUGUCGAAUCACAAGUUUUACCGUUUUUGUUUUGUGAAAUUUGCUUAUGUUUCCUAUCUUGGCAUCAGUGCCUGAUCCAGAGAAGAAUAUACUCAAAUGUUUGUGGACUGUAUGAAUGCAUGUCGGUCAAAUGUUAUCAGGAUUGUGGGGCCAUUUUAAUACAAAAUAAACCUUAAAAUUC